rnacentral:lncRNA from 1 species
GUUUUUUAUAUAUGACAACAGAAUGCAUUACAAUUCAUAUUACACAUAUAGAGCACAAUUUUUCAUAUCUCUGGUUGUACACAAAGUAGACCUCACAUCCUUUGUGUCUUUAUACAUGUACUUAGGGUAAUGAUGACCACCACAUUCCACUGUCUUUUCUACCCCUAUAUCCCCUCCCUUCCACUCCCUCCCCCUUUCCCCUUUGCCCUAUCUAGAGUUCAUUUAAUCCUCUCCCCAGCCCCCGCAGCAUAUUAUGAAUGAGCAUCCUUUAAUCAGAGAAAUUAUUCAGCUUUUGAUUUUGGGGGAUUGGCUAAUUUCCAAUAUUCUUAGCUUUAUAUUCUCCAGCUCCAUCCAUUUACCUGCAAAUGCCAUGAAUUUAUUCCAUUUAAUUAUGAGUAAUAUUCCAUUGUGUAUCCAUACCACAUUUUCUUUAUCCAUCCAUCUACUGAAGGGCAUCUAGGUUGCUUCCACAGUGUAGCUAUUGUGAAUUGUGAGACUAUAAAAAUUGAUGUGGCUGUGUCCCUGUAGUAUGUUGUUUUUAAGUCCUUUGGGAUUUUAGGAUUGGGAUAGCUGGGGCAAAUUGUGGUUCCAUUCCAAGUUUUCCAAGGAUUCUCCAUUUUGCUUUCCUUAUUGGCUGCACCAGUUUGCAGUCCCACCAGCAAUGUAUGAGUGUGCCUUUGCCCCCCCCCCCCACAUCCUCAUCAACACUUAUUGUUGUUUGUAUUCUUAACAACUGCCAUUUGACUGGAAUGAGAUGAAAUCUUAGAGUAGUUUUGAUUUGCA